rnacentral:tRNA from 1 species
UGGCCCAGUGGUUAAAGCGCUUGGCUGCUAACCAAAAGGUUGGUGGUUCGAACCCACC